rnacentral:lncRNA from 1 species
AUAUUGCAGGACAAGCUUUAUUUUUGUUUUGUUUUAAAAAUACUGUAUCUUAGGCUGUGCUGCUGAAAGGAGACAGGAGAGAAUAAUCCAUCCAAACGCCAGUGGAAUUUGGGGACUUAGGUUUUUUCAGUCCCCUUUGCAAGCCCCAGCUGUAAUCAGCUGUUUAAGGCAGAGAUCUUGGCAUAAGCAGCGCCACAGAUCUUCCACUCAAAAUGCAGUUUUCUGCAUGCAGGACACCUCCUUACACAGAUCUCUUGACCCUGCAUUAGGGAGAAGUAAUAGUCUGAUGCUUUUUAAUGCAUUAAGCUCUGCAAAUUUGGAAUAUCUGAGGGGAAGGGAGAGAUCACUGGGUCUUUUUCUGAAAACGUAAGCAAAAUUGUCAGCUAUAGUCCAUGUUCAGACCUCAUUCGACCCCAUUGUUCUCGAAUUAAUUUCUUUCUGGAGUUGCACAGAGACCUGAGAAAAACAAGCAAAAAGGCUUUGCUGCUGUAAAUGAGGAAAGAUUUCACAACCUUCUUUAAGCCCCAGAUCCCCAACUGGGUUUCCAGAGCUGGUAGUCUUUUUACUCAUCAACUGGAUCGGUUUUGACCUAUGUGGACGCCAUGUUGCUAUUUCUGAGGUGUAUUUUUAAGAAACAAACUUCAUACAGGGUGAAGUUCUUCACAGGUGAAGAAGUCAAUAAUUGUCUGUCACUUGUACCAGUUGAGACCUGUGGGUUUUUUAUGUUGGGUUGUUGAGGUUUUUUUCCCCUACUGCAAGACACACCACUCUUUAAUGAGGAUAAAGGAAGGCAUGUUGUAGUGCUGUCUGCCACACUUCAGUCAGAUGCCUCAUUAAAAAAUGCUCUUUUAGUGUUUGAGUACAAAAGUGCCCUCAAUAAGAAGACAAUACAACCAGAGGUCUUUUUUGGGUGGGUUUUUGUGUUUUUUUUAAAGGUGUCUGAGUUUCAUCCCUUUCUCAGUCGUCAGAUAAUUAGGCUUUUGAAAAGAAUUAUUCAGUUAUGUGCUAAUUGGAGUAUGACACUCACUUUUACUGAUCUGCAGAUUUCAGAUAUUCUGAUCUUUAUGUCACUUCGGCUCCAUUUUUAUUCCCAUGUGAUAACCUCCGAAAAGUCUGGUUCUGCUGCGUUAGAGAUUGAUUUCACUGUCCGUACAAUGUUUGCUACUAUUGUAGUGUGACCUUUUAUUUUCAUUUUAUAAGGUUGGAUUCAUACAGCCUUAAACUUACAGAAUUAAAGGCCAUUUUACAAUAAUCGAGAUUAGAUAGAUAGUCAUCGAUGUCUGUGAUAAAUGCAUGCUUUAUUCACAGUGUUUUGUCUGUAAUUAGGUGUAGCAACCAAGUCUCAUGUACUUAAUAAACUGUUUUCUGCAAAGUUG